GACGAACGCUGGCGGCGUGCCUAAUACAUGCAAGUCGAACGCUGAAGUGAGGAGCUUGCUCUUCUUGGAUGAGUUGCGGACGGGUGAGUAACGCGUGGGUAACCUACCUUGUAGCGGGGGAUAACUAUUGGAAACGAUAGCUAAUACCGCAUAACAAUUGAUAACACAUGGCACUUAUUUGAAAGAGGCAAUUGCUCCACUACAAGAUUGACCUGCGUUGUAUUAGCUAGUAGGUGAGGUAAUGGCUCACCCAGGCCACGAUACAUAGCCGCACCGAAAGGGUGAUACGCCAAAAUGGGACUGGGAGACGGCCCAGAACUCUAAGGGAGGGAGCCGGAGGGGAUUCUUGGGAAAGGGGGCAAAGCUGAACGAGGAACGCCGGGUGAAUGAGGAAGGGUGUAGGGUCGUAAAGGUUUUGUGUAAGUCAAGGAAGGGUGGUAGAGUGGAAAGUGCACAUUGUGACGGUAGCUUAUCAGAAAGGGACGGCUAACUACGUG
rnacentral:rRNA from 1 species